AUUGAACGCUGGCGGCAUGCCUUACACAUGCAAGUCGAACGGCAGCGGGCCUUCGGGUGCCGGCGAGUGGCGAACGGGUGAGUAAUGCAUCGGAACGUGCCAUUGAGUGGGGGGAUAACGUAGCGAAAGUUACGCUAAUACCGCAUAUUCUGUGAGCAGGAAAGCAGGGGGACCGCAAGGCCUUGCGCUCUUUGAGCGGCCGAUGUCAGAUUAGCUAGUUGGUGAGGUAAAGGCUUACCAAGGCGACGAUCUGUAGCGGGUCUGAGAGGAUGAUCCGCCACACUGGAACUGAGACACGGUCCAGACUCCUACGGGAGGCAGCAGUGGGGAAUUUUGGACAAUGGGCGCAAGCCUGAUCCAGCCAUGCCGCGUGAGUGAAGAAGGCCUUCGGGUUGGUUAAAGCUCUUUCGGUCCGGGAACGGAAAGUACGACGAUGGGUUAAGUACCCGUAGUGUGGGUAUAGGUACGGUAACCCGGGGUAAACGUUAAAA
rnacentral:rRNA from 1 species